rnacentral:rRNA from 1 species
GAUGAACGCUGGCGGCGUGCCUAAUACAUGCAAGUCGAGCGAACAGACGAGGAUCUUGCUCCUCUGACGUUAGCGGCGGACGGGUGAGUAACACGUGUAUACCCUACCUAUAAGACUGGGAUAACUUCGGGAAACCGGAUCUAAUACCGGAGAAUAUAUUGAACCGCAUGGUUCAAUAGAGAAAGACGGUUUUGCUGUCACUUAUAGAUGGUUCCGAGCUGCAUUAGCUAGUUGGUAAGGUAACGGCUUACCAAGGCGACGAUGCGUAGCCGACGUGAGAGGGUGAUCGGCCACACUGGAACUGAGACACGGUCCAGACUCCUACGGGAGGCAGCAGUAGGGAAUCUGCCGCAAUGGGCGAAAGCAUGACGGAGCGACGCCGCGUGAGUGAUGAAGGUCUUCGGAUCGUAAAGCUCUGUUAUUAGGGAAGAACAGAUGUGUAAGUAACUAUGCACGUCUUGACGGUACCUAAUCAGAAAGCAACGGCUAACUACGUG